UACGUAGGCAGCAAGCGUUGUUCGGAGUUACUGGGCGUAAAGGGUGUGUAGGCGGUUGCUUAAGUUUGGUGUGAAAUCUCCCGGCUCAACCGGGAGGGUGCGCCGAAUACUGAGUGACUAGAGUGCGGGAGAGGAAAGUGGAAUUCCUGGUGUAGCGGUGAAAUGCGUAGAUAUUACCAGGAACACCAAUGGCGAAGGCAGCUUGCUGGGCCACUCCUGACACUGAGGUACGAAAGCGUGGGGAGCGAAACAGG
rnacentral:rRNA from 1 species